rnacentral:rRNA from 1 species
GCUUAACACAUGCAAGUCGAACGAUGAAGCCCAGCUUGCUGGGUGGAUUAGUGGCGAACGGGUGAGUAACACGUGGGUGAUCUGCCCUGCACUUCGGGAUAAGCCUGGGAAACUGGGUCUAAUACCGGAUAGGACCUCGGGAUGCAUGUUCCGGGGUGGAAAGGUUUUCCGGUGCAGGAUGGGCCCGCGGCCUAUCAGCUUGUUGGUGGGGUAACGGCCCACCAAGGCGACGACGGGUAGCCGGCCUGAGAGGGCGACCGGCCACACUGGGACUGAGACACGGCCCAGACUCCUACGGGAGGCAGCAGUGGGGAAUAUUGCACAAUGGGCGCAAGCCUGAUGCAGCGACGCCGCGUGAGGGAUGACGGCCUUCGGGUUGUAAACCUCUUUCAGUACCGACGAAGCGCAAGUGACGGUAGGUACAGAAGAAGCACCGGCCAACUACGUGCCAGCAGCCGCGGUAAUACGUAGGGUGCGAGCGUUGUCCGGAAUUACUGGGCGUAAAGAGCUCGUAGGCGGUUUGUCGCGUCGUCUGUGAAAACCCGCAGCUCAACUGCGGGCUUGCAGGCGAUACGGGCAGACUUGAGUACUGCAGGGGAGACUGGAAUUCCUGGUGUAGCGGUGAAAUGCGCAGAUA